ensembl:lncRNA
AUUGUUUCAUUAAUGUGUGAUGUGUUUGUUUUGAUUCUGUAGAUGGAGAUAUGUCAUUUUGUCCAGGAAAAAUUAACUGAAUGGCAUCUCAGUGAGCUGAUUCACAGAUUUGAAGGUAUUUUAUUAUAGUUUGGUUUGGUCCUUCAUAAAUUACUGCUGUACUGUAAUGCCAUAUUGAUAUUUGUUUGUCUAAUUUCAAUUGGAAUACUUCGUUUUGUUGCAGAGGAGGGUAUUGACAAAGAAGCUUUCCUAAGUCUCGAGUCAGGCAGAAUCAAUACUUUGAUUCCAAAAAUUGGACCAAGAGUAAAGUUUAAAAGGAGACUCAGAGAAUACUUACAGGACUUGAAUAGAACACAUGAUGAUUCUGCUGACAUGAUGGAAACAAGCGCAGAGCAAGAGGACAGUCCAGAAAUGGAGCCAAACAUUUUUCCUCAACAUUUGGAAUCUUCUUCAGCGUCUGACACAACAGAUGGCAAAGACAGGAUGCAGGACCACAACAUUUAUCCAUUUCAGUUGGAGUCUGCUUCAGCAGUUGACAGAGGCAGUGACACAAGUAAUGAACCAAUUUGCUCCUGGGCAACAGUGACACAAGGACAAAGUCCAACCACAUUUACAAUGUUUUACUGUCAAGAGUGUAAAAACUUCAUGGGAAACGAUCCUGAUUCUUGUUGUUCUCACUGUGCCUCUGUGUUCAACAAAGCAAGCAGCAUUCAAAAUGGAAACUUCUUUCUGUACUCAUCCCUGAAAGACCUUCUGAAAGGUAUCCUUGAGAACCACAGCGCUGAGUUGUUACCUAAAACAGUUAAAGAUGAGCAUGAUAACAUCAAAGAUGUGAUGGAUGGGAUGAUGUACCAGAAUCUCCUCAGAGAGGGUAAACUAGCUGCAGAUGAUCUCACACUGACAUGGAAUUUUGAUGAAGUACCAAUUUUUAGCACCACCAGAUACUCAAUUUGGCCCCUUCAGUUUGUUAUUAAUGAACUUCCUUACACACAAAGACAGGAAAAUAUGAUAGUUGCUGGAUUUUGGUUUGGCCAAGGAAAACCUCAUAUGAACACAUUUCUGAAACCAUUUGUGGAUGAAUGUUGUGAUUUAGCCCAAAAUCCAUUUCAGUGGAGAGACAGCAGAGGCACUCUUCAUUCAUCAAAAGUCUUCUGCUUGGUUUGCUCCUCUGACGCUGUGGCGAGGCCACUUCUCCGGAAUUGCAAACAAUUCAAUGGAGAAUAUGGUUGUGACUGGUGUUUACACCCUGGCACAGUGGUACCAAAAGGCUCUGGCUCUAUGAGGUCAUACCGAUAUGAUGAAACUAAACAAGCAUCAAGAUCAAAAAAUAUGUUUGUUGAAAACACCUCAGAGUAUGGUGUAAAAGGAAUGUCCUUACUUUCCAGACUUCCUUUGUUUGACAUUGUGUUUGGAUUUGUACCAGAAUAUAUGCACUCAGUUUUAGUUGGUGUGACUAAGCAACUUAUUGGAUUGUGGCUGAACUCAGAGAACUCCAAGAAAGACUGGUAUGUAGGUCAACAGAUUUCACAGAUGGACUCUUAUCUCUUAAAGCCUCCAUCAGAAAUGAGCAGAUCUCUACAGUCACUGAAGGGUCGGGACUCUUGGAAAGCAUCUGACUGGCGAGCUUUCCUUUUAUUUUAUGCUGUUAGUGUCCUACCAGGCAUCCUUCAGCCUUCAUUUCUCCAGCAUUUUUUUUGUUUGUCGAUCAGCAUUCACAUUCUGCUACAAGAAUCAGUCUCCCAAAAUGACCUUCAGCUGGCCCAUGAGAACUUGGUACUCUUUGUUAGAAACAUGGAAGAACUCUAUGGUGAAGAAAACGUUUCAUUCAACUGCCAUCAGUUGAUCCACUUAGCUGACUGUGUGCGUAACUGGGGGCCUCUCUGGGCAACAUCAGCAUUCAGUUUUGAGAGGAACAGUGCAAAUUUAAGGGCACUGCUUAGCAACAUAAACUACAAUCCUCAAAAAAUUCAAGACAAGUUUCUCCGUUGGCAGCGCCUGCCGAGUCACCUUCGCUCCCUUGUUUCUAACGGAAAUUCUCCGUUAGCCAGAAUUUCACCAGUAAAUGAAACCACUGAUUGUUACGAUCUGCUUGGAAAUUCACGGCAUCUGGAUAUCACAGGAUCCAUAAAACUAGCAAUAGAAGAGCUCUUAAAUCGACCUGUUUCAUUCAGAUCAGUGGAAGCCUUUGACAGCUUCAUCAACAGAAAUACUGUUUACUCUGUAAACCAUGAAGAGACAAGAGACUGUGUCAUAAAACUCAAGAAUGGCUGCUAUGGAGAAAUACAGUUCAUCGUCAGGUUUAAAGAGAACUGUGUUUGCACAUCCAACUGUGUGUGCUCGGCUAUUUCAGUCAUUGUGGUCCAGCUGUUUUAUAUCAAACGUGAUGCAGAGGACAGCAGGAUGAUUCCUGACAGUGCAUCAAGGACUAUCUUUGUGGAAGUGGAAAGGACAACUCAGCUCAAAGCCUUCUUCUUGAGGGAUGUUAGGUGUAAAUGCAUGUAUGUGAAUGGUUGGCUGGUGCCUUUACCAAACUCAUAUGAAAGAUAUUAAAGUUCCAGCACAGCUAAGGUGCUUUCUCUGUCUUGUAUAUCAUGGCACAUGGCUGUUUUUACUACAGUGAAAAUCUUGGAAAAAUGAAUGAUGAUGAAGUUUUUUCAAAGGAGUUUGGAGUCAUUUUGUUCAUAUGUGUGCGAGAUCUGUGGCUUACGUUUUCUUUUGGUGUGACAGUGUGGACAUAAUGUAGCCAGUGUAAUGUAGGAUUAUAUCACUCAGUACUGUAUGUGUAUUAUCUGUAUAUGGAGGAAAUUAUGGAGUGAUUGGUAAACAGCCAAAAGCUUGCCUUUCCCAACUUUGUAUUCACUACGUAUUUAUCAUACAUGUCAGUUUACCUCUAUUCAAAAUGAAAUGCAAAUUAUUGUGACACAUAAACAUUUUGUGAAUUAACGCUAAAAAUCCGGGGUGAGUGGAUCAAUGUGGUUUACUGCAUCCUGAUACAGAUUGCUAUUACUGAGAUAACAGAUCAUAAAGCUUCAUAUUACCUCAGAUUAUUGUGUAAUGGCUGAUGAGACUUAUUCUGUUUAAUGUUGCAAUGUGUGCAAGUCUAUUGAAUGUAAUACAGAUUGAUUUGCUCAAGAAUGUUUGUAUCCUGCUACAUAAAAAUGAUUAUAAUUAGUCUUAUUACUUUAAAUAUGCCUGAAAAAUCUGUUUGGCCUCCUUCUUCACUCUGGAUUUGUGCUGCUAUUCAGAGUCAAUUCAAAUUUUAGUGUCGUUCCUUAAAAAAAAAAGAAAAAAGGAUGUGUAAAUACAGUAAAUGAUGUUUAGAGAUUUUUGAAAAAUAAACAUGACCACUGUUCAUAUGUGGCUUUAUUACCUUAUCAUAGGCCAGAAUUAAAUAUCUAAGUAGGACCCUUGUGUUACGAUUCGGUGUUGUCAGUGUUUUGUUUUAGGCGUGACUGUUAUGUGUUUCCUGCUUUACUUUGAAAGUCUGUCUUAUCUCAGUGUGUUCAAUUUACGCUUCCUUGUCUCGUCAGUUCUGAUUUGCCCCAGCUGUGUUUCCCUCCUGUUGUCCAUUCCCUGAUUGCUCCUUCUAUGUAUUUAAGCCCUGUGUUUCAGUUUGUCAUGGUCGCGAUCUUCCCCCCCCCCGGUUGUAAAUAGUUUGGUGUUUUGAUGUAAAUAAAUGUCCUAUUUUGCUUUGAUGUAAAUAGCUGUCGAUACUUUCGUUUUGGGAUUUUGGUGGAGAACCGUAGUAGUAUUUUUUUUUUUUCCUUUUUUUUUUCUGUGUUGCACGCCGGUUGCCUAGGCUGGGGUGGAACACUUGUUUAAUACCAUGUUAAACAUGUUUACCGGGUCGUGAAGCAAACAACAGAAAAGAAGCUCGUAUAUAGACUUAUGCCGUAAGUUGACCUAAAACUAAAAAGAAAAAACAAUCUGACAUUUUAAAU